UACGUAGGGGGGCAAGCGUUGUCCGGAAUCAUUGGGCGUAAAGAGCGCGUAGGCGGCCCUGUAAGUCCGCUGUGAAAGUCAAGGGCUCAACCCUUGGAUGCCGGUGGAUACUGGAGAGCUUGAGUCCGGAAGAGGUGAGUGGAACUCCGAGUGUAGAGGUGAAAUUCGUAGAUAUUCGGAAGAACACCAGUGGCGAAGGCGGCUCACUGGUCCGGUACUGACGCUGAGGGUGCGAAAGCGUGGGGAGCAAACAGG
rnacentral:rRNA from 1 species